rnacentral:rRNA from 1 species
CAUGUCCUUUUGAGUUUUAUUUAAGGUCUGGUCUGCUCAAUGAAAGUUUAAAUUGCCGCAGUAUUUUGACUGUGCAAAGGUAGCAUAAUAAUUAGUUUCUUAAUUAGAAACUGGAAUGAAUGAUUGGACGAGAAAAUUGCUGUCUCGUGGGAAUGGUUUAUUGAAUUUUAUUUUUAAGUCAAAAAGCUUAAAUUUAUAUAAAAGACGAGAAGACCCUAUAGAGUUUAAUAUUUAUAUGUUUAUUUAAUUGUGGUAAGUUUAUUGAGCUAUAAGUAUUUAGUUGGGGUGACUUGGAGAUUUAAUAAAUUCUUUAAAUUUUUAAUUGUUGAUAAAUAAUUUUAUAAUCUAGUUUUUUAAAUUUAAAAUUAAUUACCUUAGGGAUAACAGCGUAAUUUUUCUUUAAAGUUCUUAUUGAAAGAAGAUUUUGCGACCUCGAUGUUGGAUUAAAAUUAAUUUUUGGUGCAGUAACUAAAAAAUUGGGUCUGUUCGACCUUUAAAAUUUUACAUGAUCUGAGUUUAAACCGGUGUAAGCCAGGUUGGAUUCUAUCUUUAGUUUUAUAAUAUAUUUUAGUACGAAAGGACCAAAUAUAUAUUAAAUUUUAAUUG